GAUGAACGCUAGCGGCAGGCUUAAUACGUGCAAGUCGAGGGGCAGCAUGGCUGUAGCAAUACAGCUGAUGGCGACCGGCAAACGGGUGCGGAACACGUACGCAACUUACCCAUAACUGAUGAAUAGCCCUCCGAAAGGAGGAUUAAUACAUCGUAAUACUUAUUGGUGGCAUCACCGAAAAGUUAUAGCUCCGGCGGUUAUGGAUGGGCGUUCGGCUGAUUAGGUAGUUGGUUGAGGUAACGGCUCACCAAGCCUGCGAUCAGUAACUGGUGUGAGAGCACGACCAGUCACACGGGCACUGAGACACGGGCCCGACUCCUACGGGAGGCAGCAGUAAGGAAUAUUGGUCAAUGGACGCAAGUCUGAACCAGCCAUGCCGCGUGAAGGAUGAAGGUCCUCUGGAUUGUAAACUGCUUUUGUACGGAACGAAACGGUCCGGGUUAAUACCCUGGGCUAAUGACGGUACCGUAAGAAUAAGCCACGGCUAACUACGUGCCAGCCGUCGCUGUAAAAC
rnacentral:rRNA from 1 species